AUUGAACGCUGGCGGCAGGCCUAACUCAUGCAAGUCGAACGGUAACAGGGAUCAGCUUGCUGAUUCGCUGACGAGUGGCGGACGGGUGAGUAAUGUCUGGGAAACUGCCUGAUGGAGGGGGAUAACUACUGGAAACGGUUGCUACUACCGCCUAACGUCGCAAGACCAAAGAUGGUGACCUUCGGGCCUCUUUCCAUCGGUUGUGCCCAGAUGGGAUUAGCUAGUAGGUGGGGUAACGGCUCACCUAGGCGACGAUCCCUAGCUGGUCUGAGAGGAUGACCAGCCACACUGGAACUGAGACACGGUCCAGACUCCUACGGGAGGCAGCAGUGGGGAAUAUUGCACAAUGGGCGAAAGCCUGAUGCAGCCAUGCCGCGUGUAUGAAGAAGGCCUUCGGGUUGUAAAGUACUUUCAGCGGGGAGGAAGGGAGUAAAGUUAAUACCUUGGCUCAUUGACGUUACCCGCAGAAGAAGCACCGGCUAACUCCGUG
rnacentral:rRNA from 1 species